rnacentral:rRNA from 1 species
AGGACGAACGCUGGCGGCGUGCUUAACACAUGCAAGUCGAGCGGAAAGGCCCUUCGGGGUACUCGAGCGGCGAACGGGUGAGUAACACGUGAGUAACCUGCCCUCCACUCUGGGAUAAGCCCGGGAAACUGGGUCUAAAUACCGGAUAUGACUGCGGAUUUCAUGGUCUGUGGUGGUAAAGUUUUUUCGGUGGGGGAUGGACUCGCGGCCUAUCAGCUUGUUGGUGAGGUAAUGGCUUACCAAGGCGACGACGGGUAGCC